rnacentral:misc_RNA from 1 species
AUGUUUGUUGUUAUGCGAUAGUCCGCUUUGUUUACUACGUACCGUUGGGGGCCUCUCUCACCCUUAUUUUAAGUUGACUUGGCUUCUGUUUAAGUGUUUCGGGUGAGGAGAAAGGGUAUUUGGGUUGAGGAGUGCGUGUACGAGGAGGUGGAGGGUGUCAUUCUCCGCCAUGUUGAGUAUUGGUGCAGUUGUGUAUCAAUAACCAAGUGAGGCUCCGGGCUGCUGCUGGGGGAAAGCUGAACAUUGUUCAAGUACCAAUUUCUUACCCUCUGGACUAACCUGUUGGAGUAGCACAGAACCAUCUUGGGCAUUAGUUGCACCCCUUGUGACCAAGAGUGAUGUAGUAAUAUUGUAUAGCGUAAGCAGCACAAGACGGUGUUUGCCUGCUGUGUAGAAACAUGGGCGCCCCGAGACGUGAGUGCUGAGGGCGGUCAAGUCUAAAUGGAGGCUAACUUUUGCACCUGACAAGGUCCAACAUACAAAUACUUGCCGAAUAUAUGAGUGUUGAAGGGUGGAAGGUGAGAGUUGACCUCGUGGACAGACCUUUCCAAAUGGUCGGUUGAGGGUGAUGAUCGGCUGCUUCGUCAAGAUCUAGUAAUCUGAAGCCGAGGGUCACUUUCUCCACCAUUCUGGAUCUGUCACAGGACAAGAUGGAAACCAGUAAAACACUGGGAAUGACAUCAGCGAUCAGUCUGGCCAAACCCAAGCCCUCAGAUCUAGAGCACACUAAGGAACUAGAAGAAUACCUUCAAGAUGCAGGAAUGUUUGAAACAGAUGCAGAGCUAAAUCACAGAUUUGAGGUCUUGGGCAAGUUAAAUACUAUGGUAACACAGUGGAUAAGAGAUGUAAGCAUAAACGUAAAGAAUAUGCCACCACAGAUUGCAGAUACAGUUGGUGGUAAGAUAUGUACAUUUGGUUCAUAUCGACUCGGAGUAGCUGGUCGUGGUGCUGAUAUUGAUGCGUUGUGCGUCGCUCCCAGACACAUUGAACGAUCCGACUACUUUGGUAGUUUUUAUGAUCUUUUGAAGGAUCAGUCGGAAGUAACAGAAAUGCGGGCAGUCGAAGAGGCCUUUGUGCCUGUGAUCAAGAUGAAGUACGAAGGCAUCGAGAUUGAUCUUCUGUUUGCUCGGCUAGCGCUGAAGGAGGUGCCUGACUCGGUGGACCUAAAAGACGACACCAUUCUUAAAAACCUAGAUGAAAAAUGUGUGCGGAGUCUUAAUGGGUGUCGGGUGACUGAUGAAAUACUACGCCAAGUGCCAAACAGAGAGAGCUUUCGUUUGGCAUUAAGGGCAAUCAAGUUAUGGGCUAAACGUCAUGGUGUAUACAGCAAUGUUCUUGGGUAUCUUGGUGGUGUUUCAUGGGCCAUGUUAGUAGCUCGCACCUGUCAGUUGUAUCCUAAUGCUACUGCCUCUACACUUGUUGAAAAGUUCUUCCUUGUGUUCUCAAAAUGGACUUGGCCAGCACCAGUAUAUCUCAAACAACCUUAUGAUGCCAAACUUGGUUUUAAGGUGUGGGAUCCACGGGUAAACGUCCAGGACAGAUUUCACCUGAUGCCAAUCAUCACACCAGCCUAUCCCCAACAGAAUUCUACUUUUAAUACUUCACAGUCAACUAAGGCAGUUAUGGUUGAGGAAUUUAAGAUGGGUCUUCAGAUUACCGAGGACAUAAUGCUUGGAAAGGCUACGUGGGAUAAACUCUUUCAGCCACCCAAUUUUUUUACAAAAUACAAGCACUACCUUGUGGUGAUUGCUGUUGCACGAACUGCAGAGGACCACCUUGAAUGGUAUGGACUUGUCGAGUCAAAAAUUAGACAUCUAAUUGCAACUCUGGAACACAAUGCUGCCAUAAAAGCUGUCCAUAUUAAUCCUGCGACCUUUAAUUGUCGUGACAGUGAUUAUAUGGAAAAACCACACUCAUCUUGGUUCAUAGGGGUGGACUUCAACAAAUCAGAAAAUGUAAACAUAGAUCUCACCAACGACAUCAAUAAGUUCGUCGAAGUAGUGUAUAAGCAAAGUACGUAUAACAAGGCUUAUAAGGAAGGCAUGGAGGUAAACUGCAAGUAUGUGAAACGAAAACAGCUGACACACUACCUAUCACAAGAUAUCUUGGACAAAUACAAAUCCAAAACAGAAGAAGGAGGCCAACCACGACAAAUAGGACAGAAGCGCAAAUCCGACCCAGUACUUCCCGAUUCACCAAGUCGAAACAGUCCCGAGUCAAACAAAAAGCUCAAGUUAGACCCAGAAACUCUUCCAACUCAGGCUGCUUUAAACGGUGAUGACUCCAAUAUCUCCAUUGACGAAGCAUUCUCUAAUACAUCAAUACCUGGUCUUGCGCCAGAAAUAAAUACCACACAGCAAUCUUUACCAUUGUCUAGCUGAGGGUAGCAGAAAGUGACAGCACCUGGUAUUUGGUGGGAAGCCUGUUACCUGCUCCUGCUUCCCUGCCUCAUCCAUCCAAUGGGCCACCUGUCUCCUGGUUGGGUUCUCUUCAGACAGGGAUGUCUCCUCCUCCUUCUGGCUCUACUCUACAGCCUGGAGGUUAUCAAGCAAUGAACUUCCUGAUGUCCUCACACCCGAGCCGCCCACAUUGGCUGCUAUGCCACGCAACCUCAUCGUUCGCUUAAAGUAGGCGAGCCAAUGAACGAAAAGUAUAGAUUGAUGUGGACAAGAAGUGCAAAUUUCCAGCACCACAACAGUUUGGUAACUUUUAAGAUUUUUGGCUGUUAUAUAUACAGUGAAUGACACUUUUUUUAAUGAUAUACAGGAAUAAAAAAAAAAAUAUAAAAAGAAAAAAAUGGUAGGGAAAGCAAAUGAAAAAGAUACACAAUUGUGAGUACAUUAACAAAAAUUAAUAUAUUUCUUGGGCUUGCAGCUUGCAUAAAACUUAAGUUGCCUUGCAAUAUGUAUUAGUGUGAA